UGAAGCCUACGGGAGGCAGCAGUGGGGAAUAUUGCGCAAUGGGCGAAAGCCUGACGCAGCGACGCCGCGUGAGGGAAGACGGUCUUCGGAUUGUAAACCUCUGUCUUUGGGGAAGAAAAUGACGGUACCCAAAGAGGAAGCUCCGGCUAACUACGUGCCAGCAGCCGCGGUAAUACGUAGGGAGCGAGCGUUGUCCGGAAUUACUGGGUGUAAAGGGAGCGUAGGCGGGCGAGAAAGUUGAAUGUUAAAUCUACCGGCUUAACUGGUAGCUGCGUUCAAAACUUCUUGUCUUGAGUGAAGUAGAG
rnacentral:rRNA from 1 species